rnacentral:rRNA from 1 species
CCUACGGGGGGCAGCAGUGAGGAAUAUUGGUCAAUGGGCGCGAGCCUGAACCAGCCAAGUAGCGUGAAGGAUGACUGCCCUACGGGUUGUAAACUUCUUUUAUAAAGGAAUAAAGUGAGCCACGUGUGCCUUUUUGUAUGUACUUUAUGAAUAAGGAUCGGCUAACUCCGUGCCAGCAGCCGCGGUAAUACGGAGGGUCCGAGAGUUAUCCGGAUUUAUUGGGUUUAAAGGGUGCGUAGAUGGGAUGUUAAGUUCGUUGUGAAAGUUUGCGGCUCAACCGUCAAAUUGCCAUUGAUACUGGCAGUCUUGAGUGCGCUUGAGGUAGGCGGAAUUCGUGGUGUAGCGGUGAAAUGCUUAGAUAUCACGAAGAACUCCGAUUGCGAAGGCAGCUUACUAAACUGCCACUGACAUUGAUGCUCGAAAGUGUGGGUAUCAAACAGGAUUAGAUACCCGGGUAGUC